CGAUGUUUACCCGUGGGUGGGGCCGUGUGGCCAGGUUUCGUGUCGCUCACCCUGCCAGUUGGUGUGACGGUGUGUUGGUGUGAGCUCACAUCUCUGGAAUCAGCGACAUUUCCAAAAAUGUAGAUGUAUGUUUUGGGACAAAAGAAAUUAAAAUUCUGAAUUGUGUAUACAUGACAACCGAUAAAAAGAGAUGCAUUCUGAUAAGGAUUUAGUUUGAGCAUCGUUCUCUUCAAAGACGCCAAAAUAAAAUAUGUACUUGGAAAACCACUGGUCUGGAUUGAUAUUUACUUUAGCC